rnacentral:rRNA from 1 species
CUUACCCUGUGUGUCUACGAUGUAUAGAUACCCGCUGAACUUAAGCAUAUCAAUAAGCGGAGGAAAAGAAACCAACAGGGAUUGCCCUAGUAACGGCGAGUGAAGCGGCAACAGCUCAAAUUUGAAAUCUGGCUCUUUUAGAGUCCGAGUUGUAAUUUGCAGAGGGCGCUUUGGCUUUGGCAGCGGUCCAAGUUCCUUGGAACAGGACGUCACAGAGGGUGAGAAUCCCGUACGUGGUCGCUGGCUAUUGCCGUGUAAAGCCCCUUCGACGAGUCGAGUUGUUUGGGAAUGCAGCUCUAAAUGGGAGGUACAUUUCUUCUAAAGCUAAAUAUUGGCCAGAGACCGAUAGCGCACAAGUAGAGUGAUCGAAAGAUGAAAAGCACUUUGGAAAGAGAGUCAAACAGCACGUGAAAUUGUUGAAAGGGAAGCGCUUGCAGCCAGACUUGCUUACAGUUGCUCAUCCGGGUUUCUACCCGGUGCACUCUUCUGUAGGCAGGCCAGCAUCAGUUUGGGCGGUAGGAUAAAGGUCUCUGUCACGUACCUCCUUUCGGGGAGGCCUUAUAGGGGAGACGACAUACUACCAGCCUGGACUGAGGUCCGCGCAUCUGCUAGGAUGCUGGCGUAAUGGCUGUAAGCGGCCCGUCUUGAAACACGGACCAAGGAGUCUAACAUCUAUGCGAGUGUUUGGGUGUCAAGCCCGAGCGCGUAAUGAAAGUGAACGGAGGUGGGAACCCGCAAGGGUGCACCAUCGACCGAUCCUGAUGUCUUCGGAAGGAUUUGAGUAAGAGCAUGGCUGUUGGGACCCGAAAGAUGGUGAACUAUGCUUGAAUAGGGUGAAGCCAGAGGAAACUCUGGUGGAGGCUCGCAGCGGUUCUGACGUGCAAAUCGAUCGUCAAAUUUGGGCAUAGGGGCGAAAGACUAAUCGAACUAUCUAGUAGCUG